rnacentral:rRNA from 1 species
UACGAAGGGGGCUAGCGUUGCUCGGAAUCACUGGGCGUAAAGCGCACGUAGGCGGCUUUCUAAGUCAGGGGUGAAAUCCUGGAGCUCAACUCCAGAACUGCCUUUGAUACUGGAGAGCUAGAGUCCGGAAGAGGUGAGUGGAACUGCGAGUGUAGAGGUGAAAUUCGUAGAUAUUCGCAAGAACACCAGUGGCGAAGGCGGCUCACUGGUCCGGUACUGACGCUGAGGUGCGAAAAGCGUGGGGAGCAAACAGG